rnacentral:rRNA from 1 species
AGUGAACGCUGGCGGUAGGCCUAACACAUGCAAGUCGAACGGCAGCACAGUAAGAGCUUGCUCUUACGGGUGGCGAGUGGCGGGCGGGUGAGGAAUACAUCGGAAUCUACUUUUUCGUGGGGGAUAACGGAGGGAAACUUACGCUAAUACCGCAUACGACCUACGGGUGAAAGCAGGGGAGCUUCGGACCUUGCGCGAUUGAAUUAGCCGAUGUCGGAUUAGCUAGUUGGCGGGGUAAAGGCCCACCAAGGCGACGAUCCGUAGCUGGUCUGAGAGGAUGAUCAGCCACACUGGAACUGAGACACGGUCCAGACUCCUACGGGAGGCAGCAGUGGGGAAUAUUGGACAAUGGGCGCAAGCCUGAUCCAGCCACACCGCGUGGGUGAAGAAGGCCUUCGGGUUGUAAAGCCCUUUUGUUGGGAAAGAAAAGCAGCAGGUUAAUACCCCGCUGUUCUGACGGUACCCAAAGAAUAAGCACCGGCUAACUUCGUG